ensembl:lncRNA
GGACAAUAAUUGGUGCUUGAGUCAAGCAAACAAUUUAUUCUUCCCUGAAUUAACUCUUUGUGGUUUGUGCAGCAGCAUUAUAUGUAUCAAGAUGCAUUUUAUUAAGUCUUCAUGGGUAUCUGGGACCUGGUAGAGUUAGUGGUACUUGGGAGUAGGAAUGGGAGAAAAGGGCAGCAUGAUCUUACUAUGCAGACUGUAUUUCCAGAAACCUGCUCAGCCAGCUCCUGAUGGAGAACACAUGCAGGAAGAAGUUGGUCCCACGGAAGCAGGGGAGCAAGGAGGGACAUCUUGAGUGUGCACUGAACCAGAAAUAUUUGGUUGACUUCAACAAGAAAGAUAAAGACCAGCAACGUCCAGACCCAGCAUCAUCUGGUCUCAGAAAGUGCAAGAGAGCUGGAAUUGGACACACAGCAGUAAGAGAGCUUCCUGAAGAAUAAGUUGCUUUCUCAGGAGUCCCUGAUGACAAACAUCCUGAACGAAAACACCACUUGAGAGACAACUUGGGGGACC